GUGCCCGUCCACCGAACGGUCGGCAGGCGAUCCGCGUCGGUCGCGCUGGGUGGUAUGGUUCCCCAGAGGCCGGUUCUUGUGCUGCCUACCCCUUCAGGGGAAGAGUUCCAAACUCGAUGUAAGCCUCCAUCCGGCGCCCUCCAAAGGGCGCGGGAGGACAACGGAGCACCCCCCGCGUUCCACCGAGCCUUCUCGGUCGCGUGGCCCGCGGGGACGUGCGAUGCUCUCGGACCCAGCGAACGCCGUGGGCGAGGACUCACGUCCCGGUCCCAAGUGAAGCAACGGUAUAACGCACGA
rnacentral:misc_RNA from 1 species